rnacentral:rRNA from 1 species
CCUACGGGUGGCUGCAGUGGGGAAUAUUGGACAAUGGGCGAAAGCCUGAUCCAGCCAUGCCGCGUGUGUGAAGAAGGCCUUCGGGUUGUAAAGCACUUUCAGUGGGGAAGAAAGCCUUGGGGCUAAUACCCUCGAGGAAGGACAUCACCCACAGAAGAAGCACCGGCUAACUCCGUGCCAGCAGCCGCGGUAAUACGGAGGGUGCGAGCGUUAAUCGGAAUUACUGGGCGUAAAGCGCGCGUAGGCGGUCUGAUAAGCCGGUUGUGAAAGCCCCGGGCUCAACCUGGGAACGGCAUCCGGAACUGUCAGGCUAGAGUGCAGGAGAGGAAGGUAGAAUUCCCGGUGUAGCGGUGAAAUGCGUAGAGAUCGGGAGGAAUACCAGUGGCGAAGGCGGCCUUCUGGACUGACACUGACGCUGAGGUGCGAAAGCGUGGGUAGCAAACAGGAUUAGAUACCCUGGUAGUCC